AGACUAGGGGGACUCUGCUGCUUGUAUGUAGGUCACGAAAGGAGAGGGACAGGCUCAGGUCGGUGUACCCAUCAGCUGUAGCAGCAGAGGGAUCUCAGUAUGGUGGACAUGUCGUCCUGCGUGAAAAAUAUAGUCGAUGGAAACCAACACAGUCAUGGCACAAACAAGCGGACAACAUUGGCGAUUUACUACCUAUCCAACUGCUGCCAAAGAACUGAAGUCCCAAAUGAUGAGGUAGAAAUGAUAAUGUACACUUCUGUAAUGAUAAGCUCCUCAUGUGAGG